AGCAGCAAGGAGGUGGCACGCGCUGCUUAAGAGUGUAUAUAAACCAGGAAGUGUAAUUUUGUUUUGUCGUUUAGGAUGUGAAAACAUUUUGUUCUACAUAUGCAAACUAGGUAUUCAAUAUGAACGAAAGAGAUGCGAUUCAUGAUGGCACCGUUUAUGCUAACAGUGAUAUUUUGAAGACUGCAAACGUGAGCAAGUUAUUAUUGUCGGGAAAACCCUUGGAGCAACUUCUCUCAGAAGACCAUAGGGAAGUGGCCAAAGCCGAUGAAAACAAUGUCUGGUAUCACAAGAAAAUAUCCCGGGAGUCAGCCGAGAGUAUACUACAAGAAGGGCUGCAGAAGCAGGGUGAUAUGAGUGGUCUGUUCCUGAUCCGAGACAGCACCGUGUCCGGCAAUGACUUCGCUCUGUCGCUGGUGUGCAAGGGGAAGAUAUUCCACUUCCAGGUGCAGCAGACGUGUGAGUGCUUCUACCGCAUUGACGAUGGACCCAUCAUCCAUGGUUUGGACAAAUUGGUCACUCACUACACAGGUAUGGCAAACGGACUUCCCACCAAACUCAGCAGCUUCUGCCGAGGGUCAAUACCACCGAAUACCUGUCGGAAGUUCGGACCCAACAAUCUGUUGCAUCGGGCAGUUCUAGAGGGUAAAAAAGAUGUUGUUAAGAGAAUAUUGGCAUAUAGUACCUGCCCAGAUGUUAAUGCCAAAAAUAAGAUUGGUUCCCUAGCCCUCCAUGAUGCAGCCUUCCAUGGCUACUAUGAAAUUGUGGCUCAACUGCUGGACAGAGGGGCUGAUGUCAAGAUCAAGGACACUAACGGACACACCGCACUACAUAGGGCCUGCGUGGCCAACCAACCACGGGUAGUGGAACUGCUGAUAAAGAAGGGUCGGAGCCUCACUUCAGAACGGUGCUCUCAGACAGGCUGGGUGCCGCUCCAUGAAGCUGCCAUGCGGGGCCACAUCAACUGUAUCAAGGUGCUAUUAGAAAACGAUGCCACUCCAUUUCCCCGGAAUGAUGACAAGCUGACCCCUCUAGAAUUGGCGAAAACAUACGGGAGAAGGGAGUGCAUCAACCACUUCAAAAAUUAUGAAAUUCAUGAUAUGGAGACCAAACCGGCGGAUUGGUUCCAUGCAGAACUAGAUCGACAGGGAGCGAUGCAGAUGUUUGAAUUUCACGGGAUGAGAGAAGGACUGUUUUUGAUUCGACCAAGCAAGAAACAUUUUGGCUGGCAUGUGCUCAGCUUGUGUCACAGUCGAGCGGCCUUCAACUACGAGAUCAGGAACCAGGACUACGAGGGGCGUCUGGUUCACUUCAUCGACGACGGCCCAUACCUGCUGUCCCUGGAACAUGUGGUCUACCACUACACCCGACAGAUGGACGGGCUGCCUUGUAUGCUCACAGCGUCCCUCAACUCAACUCAGAGAGUAAUUGAAGUAAUAGUGCCAAGAGCGCACACGUCAGACAACAGCUAUCCAAGACCAAUAUCUCAGCCAGAUCCUCCAGGGCUUCCUCCGAGACCCACUGACGAUCUGUACUCCGCACCCAACAAGAACAACCCAACUACGCCCGACCCUGUCACGCCGCCGGUGCCUGCUGGGCCAAUCCCCAAUCGGAAGCCGGCAGAUGCAGAACCGCAGCAAACAAAUUUAACAAUGAUCCCACUUUCGAAAAUCAAAAGAGGUUCAGAGCUGGGCCAGGGAGAGUACGGCUCUGUGCUGAAGGGCACUUUGAUAACUCACAAGGGCACGUUCAGGAGUGAGAAGAUAGAUGUGGCGCUGAAGACUUUCCAUGAUGGGUCCGUGGAGAAUGCCAAUAGUUUCCUGGCUGAAGCCCGAGUGAUGCAGUCUCUCCAACAUGCCUGCAUCCUCAGUCUGCUGGGUGUCUGCGAGGGACCACCUCUCAUGCUGGUGGAGGAGUAUGUGCCGAUGGGGUCCAUGCUGGACUUCCUCCUGGACCACGAAGAAAAGAUUGAUGUGAAGACAGACUUGUACCUGUGGGCGGCACAGAUCGCUAACGGCAUGAAGUACCUGGAGACUCAGAGACUCGUUCACCGAGAUCUGGCUGCCAGAAACAUCCUGUUGAAGGAUAUGAAGCAGAUUAAGAUCAGUGACUUUGGCCUAUCACGAGCUGUGGGGACAGAGAGUGAUUAUUACAAGGCUACACAUGGUGGUCGAUGGCCCAUCAAAUGGUAUGCCCCAGAGAGUGUUAACUAUGGCCAGUUUUCUCACGCUAGCGAUGUGUGGAGCUACGGUGUCACUCUGUGGGAGAUGUUUACAUUCGGGGAGCCGCCUUACGGGGAGAUGAAGGGGAUCGAGGUGGUGCAGUACAUCGAGCAUGGGAAGCGGCUGAUUAAGCCAGACAGGUGCCCCCAGACAGCGUACGGCAUCAUGCUCAAGUGUUGGUCCUGGAAGGCAGAACAUCGGCCUCAGUUCAUGGACCUGGCCAAACACUUUGAUGAGGACCCUGAAUAUGCCAGCAUUCAUGAUCUGUUGAGGCAGGCCUCGAGGAGAGAGUAGUGGUGGAGAAGUUGGGGUUGUUGGGGUUUAAGUGGGGUUCACAUUCAGAUUGAAAGGUUGAUAUUGAGCUUGUUGGGGUGAGAUACGCUGUGAGCAGUCAGCUAGAGCGGUUUUGGUAGGGAUGGGGGUGAGUUGGAUGGAAUUAUUUAAAGCUGUUGGGUAAGGUUAACUGGGGUUGGGCAAGUUAUGGGUGAGGUAGAGCAGUUGGGUGAGGUGAGUCAUGGGGGUGAAAUAGAACUGGGUUUGAGUGCAGCUGUUGGGUGAGGUUAACUGGGGUUUGGCAGGGAUAGAGGGGUUGAAGUAAAGUUAUGGGUGAGGUGGAUCUGUCGGGUGAGGUGAGUCAUGGGGGUGAAAUAGAACUGGGUUUGAUUGUAGCUAUUGGGUGAGGUUAACUGGGGUUGGGUAGGGAUAGAGGGGUUGAAGUUAAGUUAUGGGUGAGAUAGAGCAGUUGGG
rnacentral:misc_RNA from 1 species